UACGUAGGGUCCAAGCGUUAUCCGGAAUUACUGGGCGUAAAGCGUGUGUAGGUGGUUUGUUAAGUCAGAUGUGAAAUCCCUGGGCUCAACCUAGGAAUUGCAUUUGAUACUGGCAAUCUAGAGUGUGGUAGAGGAUGGUGGAAUUCCCGGUGUAGCGGUGAAAUGCGUAGAUAUCGGGAGGAACAUCAGUGGCGAAGGCGGCCAUCUGGACUGACACUGACACUGAGACACGAAAGCGUGGGGAGCAAACAGG
rnacentral:rRNA from 1 species